AAACGCUUUUUCUUGGUCCAUUUCGUUCCUUUAGCAGUGUCCCGUCUAUUGUGCUCAUCUUGUUCGACAGAAUGCCUCAGUGAAAACACACUCCUGUUUCUGUCAGGGUUAGAAACAGUAACACUAGGAUUUCUUUAUUGUCAUCGAUUUUACUUCGUUUUAUGGAGGAAAAAAGUAGUAAGAGUGUGUUAAUUAAUUAGAGUGCUGGAGAAGAUGGGAAUAAAGCUAAAGGUGGUGUGCAGGAAAGUUUACGAUUACGUCCGUUAUGAUCUAAAGGAGAUUGCAUUUCCUUCGUCUUUGCCCGACCCACCUCAUAUCAAAAAGCGCCGCAAACUCACUUGGAAAGAGCGUUUUCUUGUGUUGAAGGAAGCUUCUAGACUCUAUGCAGCAAGUUGGGUUAGGGAUAUUGGUCCUGAAUUAAGGCCGAAUGAUUACAAGAAGAAGGUAGAGAAUGAUGAUAAAUUUGAUGAAGAAAACAAGGUAAAAACAGAGAAGGAACCCUCUACACUUGAAGAUCUUGCUGUUGCUGCAAGAGGUGGCAUGGAAACGCUAAGACCAGCAUUGCAGCGAGUGUAUAUGACAAGAGCUUCUGCAUAUAGAGAUGCACUCAAAAGUUUUAUAGAGGGUUAUCAGGAAGGUGUACAACAAGUCAUGGAGAAGAGAGAUUCUGCAUCUCAAUCAGAAGAAGGCACUCCAAAAAGGCCUACAAAAUAAUCAUUGGUCACUAUGCCAAGCUUCACGUAUGAAACUCAAGUUCCAAUUUUUUUGUCAAGCAGCAAACUGCAUAUAGAAUGGCUUCUGUACCUGAUGGACCCAUCUGUGAGCUGUUUGUGGGCUCUCUCUAGGUGGUUGUUUUAGGGCCAUAACCUAUGAGAUUUGAUGGAUUUACUCAGGUGCAAAACUUGGAGAAGUUGAAGUUGGCUCUAGAAUCUCAAAAGGCAAAAAGUACGAGGCCAACGAAGGCCAAGUUAGAGGGGAAAAAUGUUCACAUGCUUUUGCAUAUGUAUUCCUGUACUUGGACAUGAAUGCUUGCGAGGUUUGUUUGGAUUGAUCUUUAUUUCCCCAAGUAUAUUU